UCAUGACUUGCGAUGUUUUUCUUUAAUUGAACAGAUUACAACCUUCAACAUUUCUAUUGUUGUUCAUGGGACAGUUGCCGGGAGUAACACUUUUGCCUGGUGAAUCUGAUCCUUACGCAGUCCCGAAGAGCAUGGGGAUUUUUUCGUUUCCUUGAAAGCCCUAAAAGUUUAACCACAAGUUCUGUAGCCCAAAGGAUAGUUAGCAACCAUGAGGCUUACAUGAAACGCAAUGUCAAAAAAGCUCAGAGUGAAAAGAAAUACUAUGAAGAGAAGACUUAUGUUGCAGGAGAG